UAGGGAAUAUUGGACAAUGGGGGCAACCCUGAUCCAGCCAUGCCGCGUGAGUGAUGAAGGCCCUAGGGUUGUAAAGCUCUUUCGGCGGGGACGAUAAUGACGGUACCCGCAGAAGAAGCCCCGGCUAACUUCGUGCCAGCAGCCGCGGUAAUACGAAGGGGGCUAGCGUUGCUCGGAAUCACUGGGCGUAAAGCGCACGUAGGCGGAUCUUUAAGUCAGGGGUGAAAUCCCGAGGCUCAACCUCGGAACUGCCUUUGAUACUGGUGAUCUCGAGUCCGGAAGAGGUGGGUGGAAUUCCUAGUGUAGAGGUGAAAUUCGUAGAUAUUAGGAAGAACACCGGUGGCGAAGGCGGCCCACUGGUCCGGUACUGACUCUGAGGUGCGAAAGCGUGGGGAGCAAACA
rnacentral:rRNA from 1 species